AAGGAUCAUUACCGAGAUAGGGUUCCUUCGGGGCCCGACCUCCAACCCAUUGUCUACCAUACCUCUGUUGCCUCGGCGGGCCGCCGGCGCCUUUACGGGCGUCGCCGUCGGUCUUCACGGGCUUUCGAGUGCCCGCCGCAGGACUUAUAAACUCUUUUUAAAGCAGUAUUCUGAGUGGGAAUUUAAUAACUUCAAAACUUUCAACAACGGAUCUCUUGGUUCUGGCAUCGAUGAAGAACGCAGCGAAAUGCGAUACGUAAUGUGAAUUGCAGAAUUCAGUGAAUCAUCGAAUCUUUGAACGCACAUUGCGCUCCCUGGUAUUCCGGGGAGCAUGCCUGUUCGAGCGUCAUUAUCAACCAUCAAGCACUGCUUGGCAUUGGGCGUCGUCCCCCGUGGACGCGCCUUAAACCCUUUGGCGGCGGUUACAAACCUCAAGCGUAGUAGAAAUCCUUAGCUUUCUAGGUUGUGGCCGUCCUGCCUCGAGAACAUCUCACCUCAAGGUUGACCUCGGAUCAGGUAGGGAUACCCGCUGAACUUAA
rnacentral:rRNA from 1 species